GAGUCAUUUACAAUUGGAUUCGGGUAACUGUUGGAGUGCUGAAUAAGUUUCUGUCAUAGAUGAGAGAAUUCUGUAUACGACUGCGGAACCUGGUACACAGUGGAGCAACCAAAGGAGAAAUCUCGGCCACGCAGGACGUCAUGAUGGAGGAGAUAUUCCGAGUGGUGUGCAUCUGUUUGGGUAAUCCACCAGAGACAUUCACCUGGGAGUAUCGAGACAAAGAUAAAAAUUAUCAGAAGAUUGGCCCCAUAACACCCUUGGAGUUUUACAGGGAACAUGUCAAGCCACUCUUCAAUAUGGAAGAUAAGGUUGGUGAAUGGCACUGGUAGUCACUGGCUGUUUACUUUCAAAUGGCUGUUAACCACAGGGAAUUGUAUAAGAUUCUUGGUUAGCAUGUAUGAGUAUCAAACUAGACAGCAAACAUUUUUCCCCACUUCCUCUGAAGUAUUUUAUGCAGCUAAUGAAGUUGGUGGUGCCAGGAUUUAUCAGCCUUUCCCCAAUGUUCCUCUUCAGAGACUUUUUAAACUGCAAGCCAGCAGUCAUUUUAAUUCCCACAUGCGCCCCGGUAUAGGACCAGAAUC
rnacentral:sRNA from 1 species